rnacentral:rRNA from 1 species
UUUGACAUAUAAGUAGUAGGGAUCUGAAAAGUGACCGACCCUUUCGGGGAGCUUAUACAGGUGCUGCAUGGCUGUCGUCAGCUCGUGCCGUGAGGUGUCCGGUUAAGUCCGGUAACGAGCGCAACCCCCACUGUAUGUUACAAGUGUCAUACGGAACUGCCGGUAUCAAGCCGGAGGAAGGUGGGAUGACGUCAAGUCAGCAUGGCCUUUAUAUCCGGGGCUACACACACGCUACAAUGGCCAGUACAAUGGGUUUGCAAGACCGCGAGGUGGAGCCAAUCCUCAAAGCUGGUCUCAGUUCAGAUUGUAGGCUGCAACCCGCCUACAUGAAGUCGGAGUUGCUAGUAACCGCAGGCCAGCCAUACUGCGGUGAAUACGUUCUCGGGGAUU